GCUUUUUUUAGUCUAAAAACUGAUAAAAAUAGGUGCUAAAGGAAAUUUCUCAGUAAGAAGGCACCAAGGACUAGAAAGUCCACUGCUCAUGUCCCCACAUUUAAAACAAAAGGUCGAUUUCUUAGAAAUUAUAUACUUGGUUUAUCUUCCACUUUCCUUUCCCUCAAAACUGAAAGUCUUUUAGCGCAGGUACCACCCCUGGAAUUUCCAGUAAACCAGCACCAGCCUGAAGAUCACGUUCUCAUCAAAGGGUGGAAAGAAGGAAAACUUGAGCUAUCCUGGGAAGGACCCUACCUUGUGCUGCUAAUCACUGAAACUGCUGUUCAUACAGUGAAAAGACCAGGAGAACAAGUAGCCAAACCUUGUUUGUCCAGGAACAACUCCACUCACUCCAUGAUAGAAUCCUGGGAGAACUGGCAGAUACCAGCAGAAAACGAUACACACAUAUGUGUGACGGUUAAUAUUGAGCAUCAAUUUGAUUGGACUGAAGGAUGGAAAGUACUGUUCCUGGUGUGUCUGUGAGGAUGUUGCCAAAGAAGAUUAACAUUUGAGUCAGCGGACUCGGAAAGGCAGACCCACUCUCGAUCUGGGUGGGCACCGUCUAGUCAGCUGCCAGCAUGGCUAGGAUAAUGCAGGCAGAAGAACAUGGAAGGACUAGCCUUGCUGAGU